AUAGGGGAGCCGGAGGGAAACCGAGUCUUAAUUGGGCGUUAAGUUGCAGGGUAUAGACCCGAAACCCGGUGAUCUAGCCAUGGGCAGGUUGAAGGUUGGGUAACACUAACUGGAGGACCGAACCGACUAAUGUUGAAAAAUUAGCGGAUGACCUGUGGCUGGGGGUGAAAGGCCAAUCAAACCGGGAGAUAGCUGGUUCUCCCCGAAAGCUAUUUAGGUAGCGCCUCGUGAAUUCAUCUCCGGGGGUAGAGCACUGUUUCGGCUAGGGGGCCAUCCCGGCUUACCAACCCGAUGCAAACUGCGAAUACCGGAGAAUGUUAUCACGGGAGACACACGGCGGGUGCUAACGUCCGUCGUGAAGAGGGAAACAACCCAGACCGCCAGCUAAGGUCCCAAAGUCAUGGUUAAGUGGGAAACGAUGUGGGAAGGCCCAGACAGCCAGGAUGUUGGCUUAGAAGCAGCCAUCAUUUAAAGAAAGCGUAAUAGCUCACUGGUCGAGUCGGCCUGCGCGGAAGAUGUAACGGGGCUAAACCAUGCACCGAAGCUGCGGCAGCGACGCUUAUGCGUUGUUGGGUAGGGGAGCGUUCUGUAAGCCUGCGAAGGUGGCCUGUGAGGGUUGCUGGAGGUAUCAGAAGUGCGAAUGCUGACAUAAGUAACGAUAAAGCGGGUGAAAAGCCCGCUCGCCGGAAGACCAAGGGUUCCUGUCCAACGUUAAUCGGGGCAGG
rnacentral:rRNA from 3 species